rnacentral:rRNA from 1 species
AUGAACGCUGGCGGCGUGCCUAAUACAUGCAAGUCGAGCGAACAGACGAGGAGCUUGCUCCUUUGACGUUAGCGGCGGACGGGUGAGUAACACGUGGGUAACCUACCUAUAAGACUGGGAUAACUUCGGGAAACCGGAGCUAAUACCGGAUAAUAUUUCGAACCGCAUGGUUCGAUAGUGAAAGAUGGCUUUGCUAUCACUUAUAGAUGGACCUGCGCCGUAUUAGCUAGUUGGUAAGGUAACGGCUUACCAAGGCAACGAUACGUAGCCGACCUGAGAGGGUGAUCGGCCACACUGGAACUGAGACGCGGUCCAUACUCCUACGGGAGGCAGCAGUAGGGAAUCUUCCGCAAUGGGCGAAAGCCUGACGGAGCAACGCCGCGUGAGUGAUGAAGGUCUUCGGAUCGUAAAACUCUGUUAUUAGGGAAGAACAAACGUGUAAGUAACUGUGCACGUCUUGACGGUACCUAAUCAGAAAGCCACGGCUAACUACGUG